rnacentral:rRNA from 1 species
CCUACGGGGAGCAGCAGUGGGGAAUAUUGGACAAUGGGGGCAACCCUGAUCCAGCCAUGCCGCGUGUGUGAAGAAGGCCCUCGGGUUGUAAAGCACUUUCAGUGAGGAAGAACGCCUGGUGGUUAAUACCCAUCAGGAAAGACAUCACUCACAGAAGAAGCACCGGCUAACUCCGUGCCAGCAGCCGCGGUAAUACGGAGGGUGCGAGCGUUAAUCGGAAUUACUGGGCGUAAAGCGCGCGUAGGUGGCUUGAUAAGCCGGUUGUGAAAGCCCCGGGCUCAACCUGGGAACGGCAUCCGGAACUGUCAAGCUAGAGUGCAGGAGAGGAAGGUAGAAUUCCCGGUGUAGCGGUGAAAUGCGUAGAGAUCGGGAGGAAUACCAGUGGCGAAGGCGGCCUUCUGGACUGACACUGACACUGAGGUGCGAAAGCGUGGGUAGCAAACAGGAUUAGAUACCCUGGUAGUC